GACGAACGCUGGCGGCGUGCUUAACACAUGCAAGUCGAACGGAAAGGCCCUGCUUUUGUGGGGUGCUCGAGUGGCGAACGGGUGAGUAACACGUGAGUAACCCGCCCUUGACUUUGGGAUAACUUCAGGAAACUGGGGCUAAUACCGGAUAGGAGCUCCUGCUGCAUGGUGGGGGUUGGAAAGUUUCGGCGGUUGGGGAUGGACUCGCGGCUUAUCAGCUUGUUGGUGGGGUAGUGGCUUACCAAGGCUUUGACGGGUAGCCGGCCUGAGAGGGUGACCGGCCACAUUGGGACUGAGAUACGGCCCAGACUCCUACGGGAGGCAGCAGUGGGGAAUAUUGCACAAUGGGCGGAAGCCUGAUGCAGCAACGCCGCGUGCGGGAUGACGGCCUUCGGGUUGUAAACCGCUUUCGCCUGUGACGAAGCGUGAGUGACGGUAAUGGGUAAAGAAGCACCGGCUAACUACGUGCCAGCAGCCGCGGUGAUACGUAGGGUGCGAGCGUUGUCCGGAUUUAUUGGGCGUAAAGGGCUCGUAGGUGGUUGAUCGCGUCGGAAGUGUAAUCUUGGGGCUUAACCCUGAGCGUGCUUUCGAUACGGGUUGACUUGAGGAAGGUAGGGGAGAAUGGAAUUCCUGGUGGAGCGGUGGAAUGCGCAGAUAUCAGGAGGAACACCAGUGGCGAAGGCGGUUCUCUGGGCCUUUCCUGACGCUGAGGAGCGAAAGCGUGGGGAGCGAACAGGCUUAGAUACCCUGGUAGUCCACGCUGUAAACGGUGGGUACUAGGUGUGGGGUCCAUUCCACGGGUUCCGUGCCGUAGCUAACGCUUUAAGUACCCCGCCUGGGGAGUACGGCCGCAAGGCUAAAACUCAAAGGAAUUGACGGGGCCCCGCACAAGCGGCGGAGCAUGCGGAUUAAUUCGAUGCAACGCGUAGAACCUUACCUGGGUUUGACAUGGAUCGGGAGUGCUCAGAGAUGGGUGUGCCUCUUUUGGGGUCGGUUCACAGGUGGUGCAUGGCUGUCGUCAGCUCGUGUCGUGAGAUGUUGGGUUAAGUCCCGCAACGAGCGCAACCCUUGUUCACUGUUGCCAGCACGUUAUGGUGGGGACUCAGUGGAGACCGCCGGGGUCAACUCGGAGGAAGGUGGGGAUGACAUCAAGUCAUCAUGCCCCUUAUGUCCAGGGCUUCACGCAUGCUACAAUGGCUGGUACAGAGAGUGGCGAGCCUGUGAGGGUGAGCGAAUCUCGGAAAGCCGGUCUCAGUUCGGAUUGGGGUCUGCAACUCGACCUCAUGAAGUCGGAGUCGCUAGUAAUCGCAGAUCAGCAACGCUGCGGUGAAUACGUUCCCGGG
rnacentral:rRNA from 1 species